rnacentral:rRNA from 1 species
AGCCUGAACGCUGGCGGCGUGGUUAAGACAUGCAAGUCGUACGGGUGUAGCAAUACACCAGUGGCGGACGGGUGAGUAAUGUAUCGCUAACGUACCCCAAGGUCUGGGAUAGCUGCCCGAAAGGGCAGGUAAUACCAGAUGACAUAUUCCUUUCGCAUGAUUGGAAUCUCAAAGGGCAACCGCCUUUGGAGCGGGCGAUAUCGUAUCAGCUAGUUGGUAGGGUAACGGCCUACCAAGGCGACGACGCGUAGCCGGACUGAGAGGUUGGCCGGCCACAUUGGGACUGAGACACUGCCCAGACUCCUACGGGGGGCUGCAGUAACGAAUCUUCCGCAAUGCACGCAAGUGUGACGGAGCGACGCCGCGUGUGGGACGAAGUCCUUGGGAUGUAAACCACUGUCGAGGGGUUAGAAAGUUCUGAUCAACCCCAGAGGAAGGCACGGCUAACUCUGCGCCAGCAGCCGC